rnacentral:lncRNA from 1 species
CAAACAAUAAAAAGUGGAAAAAAGAAAAUAAACAUGCAUUUUAAUAUUGAAUAAUUACUUUAUAUUUUACAUUAAGAGCGGCAUCAAAUAAACGGAACGAUCUAGAGUGAUUCGGAAACGCAAGCAAUUCAUAUUUUGUUAUUCCAUUACUCUUCUAAAUUAUGUAGCUUAAUCAGAAAAAACAUUGGGUGAAAUACGAAAAGAGCAACUAAU